AACGUCUUCAGUCUGAACUAGAUGCUAAGACACAAGAAUCAGCAGGACUCCGUCAAGUAGUUGACGCUUUGACAUCAAAAACAGAUGAACAGUCGCAAGAAAUUGACGACUUGAAGAAGUCAUCAGCUGAGACAAAUGCUUUGCUUCGUCAACUAAUUUCCUUUAGUGCUGGUGGGUUCAAUGGAACAAACUAAAGCUAUGAUGCAUAGAGCAAAGGCAAAUUGGUAUGUAAGAUUUGUUACCUCCUUACAAUUGUGUAUGACUCUUAGCUGUUUAUGAAGUGGUUGAGAAUGAUGAUUUCCUUAGACGUUGUCUUAUAAUUUUCUUUGUGUUGAAUUUGAUCGGUUUGUUACAUGCUGUUUGUGUGAGUUUGGGAAGGGGGUACAACUCUACAUACAUGCAUGAUGAGUGUGAUCUGUUGGUUAUGCACUUAAUGAUUUGUGGGGAAAUGAAUGGCGUCACUUGUCAAUUCCUGGCCACUUAUAGCUGGCAUUUCAUUACCUCCUUUUCUCUGUCCAGCUCUAUAAGGUUCAGCUUAAACUUGUCGAUUUUGUGUGUCCAGCUCUAUAAUGCAAUGCUGAACUAUUCGUUGAUAUUAUCGUGAUGAUACCUGUGGCACUAUUAAGGACAGCCGCAAUAUAUAGUACUAUCUUGAUUGAUAAUGCAUGCCGAGUGUAGAAAUAAGCUGCAGUUUUAUACAAUGAGUAUGGACCUGAGUGGAACAUUUUUCUCCUAUAGCUUCGGACUGAUAUAUACAAUUCACUUGAUACUUAUUUUAUUCUGAUUAAUACAUGUGUUUUCAGGUUGCAUAGAAGCAAUCAUUUUGCAGCACCAUGGGGCUUCUUUUGGACACGAUUCAAGUAGUUUGCGUGGCAACAUGAAGUCGUCGUUGUGACAUGGAAUUGAGUCAGUUUUUGAGAUAUAUUUGGCUGUUGGCAAUGAAUUUGUAAUCCUUAAGUCAACUUUUGAAUGAAUACUUGUAAUGCUUAGCUGUUGAGCACCAUGGAUGUUUAUUGCUGUAAAAGUUUGAAUUGCAUAAUAUUUGAACCAGUUUGCUAAUGUAUUACAAUGGAUUGAUUAUUACAAA